AUGACAGUAGAUCUUACUCCCACUGAGACACAGAUCUGUCAUCUUUCUCCUCACCUUCACAUUCUUUCCUCUUCUCCACAGUCCCUCAAGCCACUGAUCAAAAAGCAUUGCCAUGCCUGGAUCAAUGCCAGCCUGGAGCAGUUGAGAAGGCUUCUUCAGCAGACCCCAGAGCAGCAGAAUACCAGAGCCUUGUCAUGCCUAGAGAAGGCUGAGAUCUUGGAAAUGACCAUACAGCAGUUAGCAAGGCUCAAGAAGCCAGAUGCUGGAGACCUCUCCAACUGCACCCCAGAUGUGGAGGCCCUGGGGACUAAAUACAAACUUCAGAACCAGCCCAACCCAGCACAGAAAAAGUGGAAAGGAUGGAAGAGGCAAGGCAGCAGCUUCUCAUGCCCACCACUAAUGGCAGAAAGAACAGAACCAAGGGAGAGCAGAAAAAGGAUGGGCAAUGAAUGUGUUCCUUGCACAUCAGUGAGAUUCUCCAUGCUCCACUGCAGCACCCAAAUGGGGCAAGAAGAGCAAUGCAGAAGAUUAGUUGCUUUGUUUCAACUCUUAAGGGUGGAGGGGGAGGUUAAUAUUAAAUUUGAGGAGGGUCCAAGUGGUGCUUUGAAGGGGCUUCAGAGUUUCACUGUCUGUACCUAGAAGUAAGGGAAAAAAACGGAGAAUAUAAAAAGAAUAAGUAGCGAUUAGAAAGCAGCACAGAAGACAGAUAAAGACAAGUUUAAACUUGAAGUUUAAAGAGUGAAAACAAAUCCCCAGUUCUAAGCACUAGAUCACAUCCUAGUGAACCCCAUUCAAACCACAGGAGAGCAGACACCAACACUUAUCUGCUUUGCCUAAACUCAACUGGAUUCCAUCUUUAAAAGUAGACGAAUUGACUACAAAUGGGCUCUAAGUUUCAUACAAUGACAAUAUAAACAUUAGCUGCUUGUCUCUACAGAUUGAUAUUCCCACACCAUUUCAACCAGCAGUUAAGGCUGAUACCACACUUUUUUCUUGAAGACAAAGCUAACUUAAACAGCUUCCACCUUCCCCACUCAAAAUAUCCAUCUUCCUCUGCUGUCCAGAUUUAGUGGGAAAAUCCAUUUCCAGCCCAAACUGCAAAAUAGUACAAGAUUGGGGCAAUAAAAAGAAAAAUCAUAUGGCUAAGAGGCA
rnacentral:lncRNA from 1 species